UACGUAGGGGGCAAGCGUUGUCCGGAAUUAUUGGGCGUAAAGAGCGUGUAGGCGGCCAGAUAGGUCAGCUGUGAAAACUCGAGGCUCAACCUCGAGACGCCGGUUGAAACCAUCUGGCUAGAGUCCGGAAGAGGAGAGUGGAAUUCCUGGUGUAGCGGUGAAAUGCGCAGAUAUCAGGAAGAACACCCGUGGCUAAGGCGGCUCUCUAGUACGGUACUGACGCUGAGACGCGAAAGCGUGGGGAGCGAACAGG
rnacentral:rRNA from 1 species